GCAUGAUCUAAGCUUGCUUAGAUUGAUGGCGACCGGCGCACGGGUGAGUAACGCGUAUCCAACCUUCCCUAUAGUAGAGGAUAGCCCGGCGAAAGUCGGAUUAAUACUCUAUGUUUUCCAAUGCAGACAUCUAAGUUGGAACAAAGGUUCACCGCUAUAGGAUGGGGAUGCGUCUGAUUAGAUAGUAGGCGGGGUAACGGCCCACCUAGUCUACGAUCAGUAGGGGUUCUGAGAGGAAGGUCCCCCACAUUGGAACUGAGACACGGUCCAAACUCCUACGGGAGGCAGCAGUGAGGAAUAUUGGUCAAUGGGCGAGAGCCUGAACCAGCCAAGUAGCGUGCAGGAUGACGGCCCUAUGGGUUGUAAACUGCUUUUAUCGGGGGAUAAAGUGAGGGACGUGUCCCUUAUUGUAGGUACCCGAUGAAUAAGGACCGGCUAAUUCCGUGCCAGCAGCCGC
rnacentral:rRNA from 1 species